GAUGAAUAACGUAGCGAAAUGCGAUAAGUAAUGUGAAUUGCAGAAUUCAGUGAAUCAUCGAAUCUUUGAACGCACCUUGCGCCCUUUGGCCAUUCCGAAGGGCAUGCCUGUUUGAGUAUCAUGAACACCUCAACUCUUCAUGGUUUUCCAUGAUGAGCUUGGACUUUGGGGGUCUUGCUGGCCUGUGGGUCGGCUCCUCUCAAAUGAAUCAGCUUGCCGGUUUUUGGUGGGCAUCACAGGUGUGAUAACUAUCUACGCUUGUGGUUUUCCACCAGGGUAACCUUCAGCAGUGGAGGUUCACUGGAGCUUACAAAUGUCUCUCCUCUGUGAGGACAGCCCUUUGAAUGUUUGAUCUCAAAUCAGGUAGGACUACCCGCUGAACUUAAGCAUAUCAAUAAGCGGAGGA
rnacentral:misc_RNA from 1 species